AGAACGAACGCUGGCGGCGUGGAUAAGACAUGCAAGUCGAACGAGAUUUUUCGUUGUAGCAAUACGAUGGAAAAUUUAGUGGCGAACGGGUGCUUAACACGUGGGCAACCUGCCAAGAAGUGGGGGAUAGCUCGCCGAAAGGCGAAUUAAUACCGCAUGUGAUUAGAGAGGACAUCUUUUCAAAAUUAAAGUCGGGGCAACCUGACGCUUCUUGUGGGGCCCGCGGCCUAUCAGCUAGUUGGUGAGGUAAAGGCUCACCAAGGCUUUGACGGGUAGCUGGUCUGAGAGGACGACCAGCCACACUGGGACUGAGACACGGCCCAGACACCUACGGGUGGCAGCAGUCGAGAAUUUUUGACAAUGGGGAAACCCUGAUCGAGCGACGCCGCGUGGAGGAUGAAGGUCUUCGGAUUGUAAACCCCUUUCAGCAGGGACGAAGCGAAAGUGACGGUACCUGCAGAAGAAGCGCCGGCUAACUACGCGCCAGCAGCCGCGGU
rnacentral:rRNA from 1 species